rnacentral:rRNA from 1 species
AACGAACGCUGGCGGCAUGCCUAACACAUGCAAGUCGAACGAGACCUUCGGGUCUAGUGGCGCACGGGUGCGUAACGCGUGGGAACCUGCCCUUAGGUUCGGAAUAACUCCCCGAAAGGGGUGCUAAUACCGGAUAAUGUCUUCGGACCAAAGAUUUAUCGCCUUUGGAUGGGCCCGCGUUGGAUUAGCUAGUUGGUAGGGUAAAAGCCUACCAAGGCGACGAUCCAUAGCUGGUCUGAGAGGAUGAUCAGCCACACUGGGACUGAGAUACGGCCCAGACUCCUACGGGAGGCAGCAGUGGGGAAUAUUGGACAAGGGGCGAAAGCCUGAUCCAGCAAUGCCGCGUGAGUGAUGAAGGCCUUAGGGUUGUAAAGCUCUUUUACCCGGGAUGAUAAUGACAGUACCGGGAGAAUAAGCUCCGGCUAACUCCGUG